GACAGAGGAUGCAAGCGUUAUCCGGAAUUAUUGGGCGUAAAGCGUCCGCAGGUGGCUGUGUAAGUCUGCUGUCAAAGAGCAAAGCUCAACUUUGUAAAGGCAGUGGAAACUACACGGCUAGAGUGCGUUCGGGGCAGAGGGAAUUCCUGGUGUAGCGGUGAAAUGCGUAGAGAUCAGGAAGAACACCGGUGGCGAAGGCGCUCUGCUAGGCCGCAACUGACACUGAGGGACGAAAGCUAGGGGAGCGAAUGGG
rnacentral:rRNA from 1 species